rnacentral:rRNA from 1 species
GACGAACGCUGGCGGCGUGCUUAACACAUGCAAGUCGAACGGAAAGGCCCUGCUUUUGUGGGGUGCUCGAGUGGCGAACGGGUGAGUAACACGUGAGUAACCUGCCCUUGACUUUGGGAUAACUUCAGGAAACUGGGGCUAAUACCGGAUAGGAGCUCCUGCUGCAUGGUGGGGGUUGGAAAGUUUCGGCGGUUGGGGAUGGACUCGCGGCUUAUCAGCUUGUUGGUGGGGUAGUGGCUUACCAAGGCUUUGACGGGUAGCCGGCCUGAGAGGGUGACCGGCCACAUUGGGACUGAGAUACGGCCCAGACUCCUACGGGAGGCAGCAGUGGGGAAUAUUGCACAAUGGGCGGAAGCCUGACGCAGCAACGCCGCGUGCGGGAUGACGGCCUUCGGGUUGUAAACCGCUUCCGCCUGUGACGAAGCGUGAGUGACGGUAAUGGGUAAAGAAGCACCGGCUAACUACGUG